rnacentral:rRNA from 2 species
UUGAAGAGUUUGAUCAUGGCUCAGAUUGAACGCUGGCGGCAGGCCUAACACAUGCAAGUCGAGCGGUAGCACAGGGGAGCUUGCUCUCCGGGUGACGAGCGGCGGACGGGUGAGUAAUGUCUGGGAAACUGCCUGAUGGAGGGGGAUAACUACUGGAAACGGUAGCUAAUACCGCAUAACGUCUACGGACCAAAGUGGGGGACCUUCGGGCCUCACGCCAUCAGAUGUGCCCAGAUGGGAUUAGCUAGUAGGUGGGGUAAUGGCUCACCUAGGCGACGAUCCCUAGCUGGUCUGAGAGGAUGACCAGCCACACUGGAACUGAGACACGGUCCAGACUCCUACGGGAGGCAGCAGUGGGGAAUAUUGCACAAUGGGCGCAAGCCUGAUGCAGCCAUGCCGCGUGUGUGAAGAAGGCCUUAGGGUUGUAAAGCACUUUCAGCGAGGAGGAAGGGUAGUGUGUUAAUAGCACAUUGCAUUGACGUUACUCGCAGAAGAAGCACCGGCUAACUCCGUGCCAGCAGCCGCGGUAAUACGGAGGGUGCAAGCGUUAAUCGGAAUUACUGGGCGUAAAGCGCACGCAGGCGGUUUGUUAAGUCAGAUGUGAAAUCCCCGCGCUUAACGUGGGAACUGCAUUUGAAACUGGCAAGCUAGAGUCUUGUAGAGGGGGGUAGAAUUCCAGGUGUAGCGGUGAAAUGCGUAGAGAUCUGGAGGAAUACCGGUGGCGAAGGCGGCCCCCUGGACAAAGACUGACGCUCAGGUGCGAAAGCGUGGGGAGCAAACAGGAUUAGAUACCCUGGUAGUCCACGCUGUAAACGAUGUCGAUUUGGAGGUUGUGCCCUUGAGGCGUGGCUUCCGGAGCUAACGCGUUAAAUCGACCGCCUGGGGAGUACGGCCGCAAGGUUAAAACUCAAAUGAAUUGACGGGGGCCCGCACAAGCGGUGGAGCAUGUGGUUUAAUUCGAUGCAACGCGAAGAACCUUACCUACUCUUGACAUCCAGAGAAUUCGCUAGAGAUAGCUUAGUGCCUUCGGGAACUCUGAGACAGGUGCUGCAUGGCUGUCGUCAGCUCGUGUUGUGAAAUGUUGGGUUAAGUCCCGCAACGAGCGCAACCCUUAUCCUUUGUUGCCAGCGAUUCGGUCGGGAACUCAAAGGAGACUGCCGGUGAUAAACCGGAGGAAGGUGGGGAUGACGUCAAGUCAUCAUGGCCCUUACGAGUAGGGCUACACACGUGCUACAAUGGCGUAUACAAAGAGAAGCGAACUCGCGAGAGCAAGCGGACCUCAUAAAGUACGUCGUAGUCCGGAUUGGAGUCUGCAACUCGACUCCAUGAAGUCGGAAUCGCUAGUAAUCGUAGAUCAGAAUGCUACGGUGAAUACGUUCCCGGGCCUUGUACACACCGCCCGUCACACCAUGGGAGUGGGUUGCAAAAGAAGUAGGUAGCUUAACCUUCGGGAGGGCGCUUACCACUUUGUGAUUCAUGACUGGGGUGAAGUCGUAACAAGGUAACCGUAGGGGAACCUGCGGUUGGAUCACCUCCUU